ACGUGAAAAUGCGCGCCAUGCAGCGCUUCUUCGAGGAAGGCGACAAGGUCAAGAUCACCUUGCGCUACCGCGGCCGUGAAAUGGCGCACCAGGAAAUCGGCACCAAGCUUCUCGACAAGAUCAAGACCGACGUCGCAGAGUUUGCCAAGGUCGAGCAGGACGCUCGAUUUGAAGGCCGCCAGGUCGUCAUGGUUCUGGCGCCGCGCUGAUUGACCCCUCAAUGGUCGUCCCCGCCUUGUGCGCAAUUGCGCACUGGCGCGGGCACCCAUAACCACCGA
rnacentral:misc_RNA from 1 species